rnacentral:rRNA from 2 species
UAUUGGGCGUAAGAGCUCGUAGGCGGUUUGUCGCGUCUGCUGUGAAAUCCCGAGGCUCAACCUCGGGUCUGCAGUGGGUACGGGCAGACUAGAGUGCGGUAGGGGAGAUUGGAAUUCCUGGUGUAGCGGUGGAAUGCGCAGAUAUCAGGAGGAACACCGAUGGCGAAGGCAGAUCUCUGGGCCGUUACUGACGCUGAGGAGCGAAAGGGUGGGGAGCAAACAGGCUUAGAUACCCUGGUAGUCCACCCCGUAAACGUUGGGAACUAGUUGUGGGGUCCAUUCCACGGAUUCCGUGACGCAGCUAACGCAUUAAGUUCCCCGCCUGGGGAGUACGGCCGCAAGGCUAAAACUCAAAGGAAUUGACGGGGACCCGCACAAGCGGCGGAGCAUGCGGAUUAAUUCGAUGCAACGCGAAGAACCUUACCAAGGCUUGACAUAUACGAGAACGGGCCAGAAAUGGUCAACUCUUUGGACACUCGUAAACAGGUGGUGCAUGGUUGUCGUCAGCUCGUGUCGUGAGAUGUUGGGUUAAGUCCCGCAACGAGCGCAACCCUCGUUCUAUGUUGCCAGCACGUAAUGGUGGGAACUCAUGGGGAUACUGCCGGGGUCAACUCGGAGGAAAGGUGGGGGAUGACGUCAAAUCAUCAUGCCCCUUAUGUCUUGGGCUUCAC